rnacentral:piRNA from 1 species
UGCUAGUGGCAUAGGCAUAGUUAUUGCUAA